rnacentral:tRNA from 1 species
GGCAGUGCGUGGCCGAAUGGUUACGCUGUCCGCUUUGCAAGCGGAUGAUUCUGGGUUCGAUUCCCAUCUGCUCCCA